CACCCAACCCUUCUCUCUCGCACGAACCCCACCCAUGGCAGCAAGCCCUCCUCUCUCUCACGCUAACCCUAGCGCUGCACUCCUUCCUUGCCGCCACCACCUCUGGCGCCAGAUCCUGGCUGCCGCGUCUCCCUCCGACCUCGCCGCCGGCGCUCCCGCCCUCUCCCCCCUCCCUCACAUCCCCUCACCUCAUCGGAAGAGAAGAGGGAGAUCAUGCGCGCAAGCAGGUCAGGCGGCGGCGGCUCCCAGAUCCGCAAGGGCUUGGACCUGGAGCUCCAUCCCCAUGGCAGCGGCCGUGGCUGCGGCUACGGUUGACAGGUCCGCCAUGGGCCUGUACCUGGAGUUCCGUCUCCUCCAUGGGGUCGGCUUCCAGAUCCGCAUCCCCAUGGGUUGGACCUGGUGCUCCAUCUCCAUGGCGUCGUCUGCUUCCGCUCGGCCGUCCGCGUCCUUCUGCUUCUCGUCGAGGUAAGAUAUUCUCCCAAUUUGCUCUUCCAUUCCUUUACCUGACGCGCUGUGGCUUCCCUCCCUCCUCACGCAGAGUGCCGUGGUCGUCGUCGUGGAGACCUCUCGGCCCCGGCUCCGCUGCCUGGCGCGCCUUCAGGGUGGUGGAUGAAUGAGACGACUGCAUUGUGCUCCCAAGAAGAUUCUGAACUGCCGAGGCUACCCAACUAGCUGCGAGUAGACAAGCGAGGCAUGGCUUGGUUACUGACUGCGGUUACUGCGAGAGCGCCGACGCGGCGGGGUGGGGCUUUCUCGGCCCGUUCGGGCUGCUCGUGCUGGUCGACGACGGCCUGUCAGAGCAGACCGCCGUCUACUUGUACCUGGUCAAGAGUGCGGACGGGAAGCUCAGCACUCACUUCUGCCAAGUCGCCUUCAGGUCAUUGAAGACGAACGUUCUCGUCAAGGCCGUUUACGGAAGCUUCGUCCCUGUACUUGAUGGGGAAAUCUGCAAGUGAGAAUAAUGGCCAAGCAGAACAGGAAGAAUAUCAUGCUGACCCGCAUCAUCAAGCACACCAUGGAGAUCAUACACCUCCUCACCGACGCCAACCCCAUAUUGCCGUCUCUCCUUCCUUGAGAUAGCUAGUAUUAUAUGAUGUCAGUUUAAUGGAUGAGAGUAGCAGUAGGAUCAUAGUUUUCUUCAGCUGCUGUCGAUUGUCACUGUUUGCUGUUCCUUCAGAUAGCUAGUAUUAACUGGUUGCUUGCUUCUGUACCAUGCUAUCUAUGGGUUAUUAGUAUUGUUUAUUCCAACCAUGAGCUUGAAUUGUGUAGGAGUACAAUAGCACCAGGUUAAUUUGUAGAAGUGAGGUUACUGAAUUUUUUCUAUGCCAUGGUACAAUUGUAAUUCGAAUGGUAGCCAGUUGACACGAGCUGUUUGGCCCAAUUCCUGGUCUAUAUUAGGGGGUACAAUUGAUUACUUUCUGUAUAUAUUUGUUAGCAAUGGAUGAACUGAUCAGGGAAACAGUUCUGAGCUGAUCUGAAGUUUUGAAUUGGUCGAGCACAUCUAAAUUUGGAGUGCUUUCUGUACUGCAGUCAGUGCCUCAGUGCUAUAUGUUAGAACCAGGCUGUUCGGCAGUUUUCUGCUUCUCUGCUGGUAGCUUAAUUAUAAGAAUACAAUUCUCACUGAAUGUACUUUGCAUUCUUACUGUAUCUACUGCUGCCACAAUCAUAAUUAUACCAACUUAUUUAUCAUAGCUAAAUAAUAAACUGUAGAGGCAAUUUUGCAGCCUGUCAAUGCCACCAGGAUAAUAAUGACCCUUGCCCCGUUAAUUUAUAGUACUUCUGCUCUGCUCCUCCAGGUACCCUCAUCUUUGAUUUCUUCCCUUCAACUCUCUGAUGCUGCUUUCCUUCAUCAUGCAGGCAUGCCCCAAUGCUCCCCUCGGUUCGGGCACCCGAUGCCAGGCAGGCUGUGGAUGCCCCGGACCUCAAGGCCGGCCGUGCUACUCCAGCUGCUCCUGCCCCGGCCAUGCUCAACUUCGCUCCUGGUCAUUUGCCGCAGUUUGGUCCAUCUGUACACCAUCUUUGAGGUCCAGGCGUACGCCUCCAUGCUUGCCGGAGGCGCCCUUCCCUUCAACCUCGAAAUACUGUGGUUUUCAAUCACCAUGGUUUUCUAAAAACUUCGUUGCCAAACUAGCCCUAAAUCUGUUCAUUUUCUGGUUGGAAUAUUUGCAAUAGUUCUGCUAGUUUAGAGUUUGGAGCAUUUGAUGUGUUUUGCGUAUCAUAUUCUGUAUCAUAGCCUGCAUCAUGUUCUGUAUCAUGCUCUGCAUCAUGCUGCUCCCUUGGAAGGUCGGCUCCUAGACCGUAAUUUCACACAACUUGUGCUCUGCUUGUGUCAGUACAUGAUAGCUUGAUACCAGUUCCUUGUAUUGCUGAUGCAGUUGUGCAAAUUGCAAUAUGCAGGGCUUCCUAGUCUGAAUUUCUAACGACAACUAAUUCAGAGUUUCAGACUGAAUCUCCAUUUGCCUCUAA